rnacentral:rRNA from 1 species
CAGGGAUUGCCUUAGUAGCGGCGAGUGAAGCGGCAAAAGCUCAAAUUUGAAAUCUGGCACCUUCGGUGUCCGAGUUGUAAUUUGAAGAUUGUAACCUUGGGGUUGGCUCUUGUCUAUGUUUCUUGGAACAGGACGUCACAGAGGGUGAGAAUCCCGUGCGAUGAGAUGCCCAAUCCUAUGUAAGGUGCUUUCGAAGAGUCGAGUUGUUUGGGAAUGCAGCUCUAAGUGGGUGGUAAAUUCCAUCUAAAGCUAAAUAUUGGCGAGAGACCGAUAGCGAACAAGUACAGUGAUGGAAAGAUGAAAAGAACUUUGAAAAGAGAGUGAAAAAGUACGUGAAAUUGUUGAAAGGGAAGGGUUUGAGAUCAGACUCGAUAUUUUGUGAGCCUUGCCUUCGUGGCGGGGUGACCCGCAGCUUAUCGGGCCAGCAUCGGUUUGGGCGGUAGGAUAAUGGCGUAGGAAUGUGACUUUGCUUCGGUGAAGUGUUAUAGCCUGCGUUGAUGCUGCCUGCCUAGACCGAGGACUGCGAUUUUAUCAAGGAUGCUGGCAUAAUGAUCCCAAACCGCCCGUCUUGAAACACGGACC